rnacentral:snRNA from 1 species
GGAUGUGAGGACGAUCUGGCUGAGACAUCUGUCACCCCGCUGAUCACCAAUGUUGAUUCAGCUGAUCUGGCUGGCGGGGUAGGUGUCCCCUUCCUCCCUCCCUGCUCAAUGUGCGUCCUUCCAGAAGCUGCACCCUUGGUCGAAGAGGACGACCAUCCACAAUAGAGGAGAACUUCAGUCAAGGGUGUACAAGUAGCUGCCCUCCCCUGCUAGAACCUCCAGACAAGCUCUCAAGAAAAUAAGGCAGACUGCAAAUUAAUUAGUUGGACAUACAUCACAAGAAGUU